AUUGAACGCUGGCGGCAGGCCUAACACAUGCAAGUCGAACGAGUGGCGGACGGGUGAGUAAUGUCUGGGAAACUGCCUGAUGGAGGGGGAUAACUACUGGAAACGGUAGCUAAUACCGCAUACCAUCGGAUGUGCCCAGAUGGGAUUAGCUCGUAGGUGGGGUAAAGGCUCACCUAGUCGACGAUCCCUAGCUGGUCUGAGAGGAUGACCAGCCACACUGGAAACGAGAAACGGGCCAGAAUCCGACGGGGGGCAGCAGUGGGGAAUAGUGCACAAUGGGCGCAAGCCUGAUGCAGACAUGCCGCGUGUAUGAAGAAGGCCUUCGGGUUGUAAAGUACUUUCAGCGGGGAGGCGUUACCCGCAGAAGAAGCACCGGCUAACUCCGUGCCAGCAGCCGCGGUAAUAC
rnacentral:rRNA from 1 species